CUAGCUUAUUACCACUAUAACAGAACUGUAACCUGUUCAUAUCAUGCAAAACAUCAUUGUUCACUCACCCACCAUUAGUUUAUAAAUAUUGUAUAUAUUUGUGCUUGCCAAGAAGAUGGUGAGGAGAAGGGCAUCAGAAAUUUAGCUUCAACAAAAAGAUAUAGGCCACCUAUUUGCUCGCUCACUUUGCUGACCAGCACAAGCGGAUCAUCCUCUCGGAAUUGGACCAACUACUGAUCAUUGCGUUGGUAAGCUAUUGCAUCACCAACUAGCUAAUCAGACGCCAGUUUUAUCUAAAAUUAAGGGGUACUUAUCAUUGAGAAAGGAUCCAGUGAAAAUGGAGUCAACAACCAGUUUUAAAGUGAGUAUAACCAAAAAGUAUUCUCCUAGUGAUGAAAAGCAAUAUCUAGACUGGCUUGGAUCGGUUGAUGUGACGCUAGGUCUACUAAGCAGCAUGCCACGUAACUCGAGUGCUUACAGGGUUCCCAAUAGACUCCGAGAAGUAAAGAAUGAUGCAUACACACCUCAAAUAGUCGCCAUCGGUCCAUUUCAUCGGAACAAGCCCGACUUUCAAGCUAUGGAGAAGCUCAAAUGGAGCUUCAUGUUAGCUUAUGUUGAUCGAGUAGCAAAAUCAGAUUUGGAGAACAAUGAAAUCAGCAUGUCAGAUGGUGAAUCUAGUGACAGCAGCCCUCAGAGAAUGGCCUUAAAAAAGUGCAGCAAAAUCGUAUCAGAGCUGGAAGAAGAAGCUUGAGCGUUUUAUGCUGAAGAUAUCAAUUUAGACAAGUAUCAGCUAACUGAGAUGUUGCUCAUUGAUGGUUGUUUUAUACUUCAACUCUUAUAUUGGCACAAUUUGGCGAACAGAGGAAGAAUUGGUGGCGAUAGUAUUCCAUUUGACGGUCUCCCAUUUAAAACGCUCACAGGUAAUUUCACCAUGAUCUGGACCCUGAAACAUGAUUUAUUACUACUAGAGAACCAAAUCCCAUAUGUCAUUUUGCGAGAGCUUUUUGAGAUAAUACCAAAACCAAAGACAGCAGCCCAUAUUGAUAAGUUCCUUCAAUCGAGCAUAUAUUCUUUUUUUCAAAGUUAUGGGAUGUUGUUAUAUAAAAAUAUACAAUAUAACGAAGGCUAUGGGAAGCAUCAAAAUGACGAGGAUGGAACCUGCAUACAUUUGCUGGAUAUUUUCUACCGUGCUUGCAACUUCCGCCACUGGAUUCUACCCUCACCUAAACAGAAACCGCCAAGAUGUGCAACCGAACUCAACAAUUCUGGAAUUAAAUUUAUGCUCGACUCUCGUAAGACCAUAGUGGACAUAAGGUUCAGGGAAGGAACGAUUUAUAUCCCGCCAGUCUUCAUAGAUGUAUCAAGUGCUAUAAUAUAUAGAAAUCUCAUUGCUUACGAACAAAUCAGUGUUGACAGAUAUACUAUGUCUUCAUAUGUGGCACUUAUGAGCUUUUUAAUUCGUUCCCCUGAAGACGCUUACAUACUAAAGCGGGCAGGUAUCUUACAAGAUGGGUUGGACGAUGUUUCUGGUUUCUUUGAAAGUUUGUGCAAAGAAGUUGUUUUUUCAGAAUUCAGUUAUAAUGAUUUGUGCGCCAAGAUUAACAAUCAAAUUUCUCCGUGGCAGUGGCGCACAGUGAAUGGAUACUUCAUUGUUUCGUGGUAUAGAUGGAAAAGAUCUAUAAAGGAUUUGAAACAAGAUUACUUUCGAAACAGAUGGAGCAUUAUAGUAUCCAUAGCUGCAACUCUUACUCUGGUUCUAACUGCCUUGCAGACUUUCUAUACCAUCCGAUCUUAUUAUCCAAAGUAAAUGUUGUACCUUGUAACCCCCUGUUUGAUGAUGCUUUUGUUUUAUCUACUUGUGCUUCUUGUUUAAGAAAUAAAUUUCGAAGAUUAACGGUUUUUUAUAA